rnacentral:rRNA from 1 species
AUACUGCAAGUCGAACGAUACCAGAGAGCUUGCUUUCUGGGAAAGUGGCGCACGGGUGCGUAACGCGUAUGCAACCUACCUUAAUCAGGGGGAUAGCCUCUCGAAAGAGAGAUUAACACCGCAUAAAAUCACACUUCGGCAUCGAAGAAUGAUCAAAUAUUUAUAGGAUUAAGAUGGGCAUGCGUGACAUUAGCUAGUUGGUAAGGUAACGGCUUACCAAGGCUACGAAGUCUAGGGGAUCUGAGAGGAUGACCCCCCACACUGGUACUGAGACACGGACCAGACUCCUACGGGAGGCAGCAGUAAGGAAUAUUGGUCAAUGGGGGCAACCCUGAACCAGCCAUGCCGCGUGCAGGAAGACGGCCCUACGGGUUGUAAACUGCUUUUAUACGGGAAUAAAUCAAGCUACGUGUAGUUUGUUGAAUGUACUGUAAGAAUAAGGAUCGGCUAACUCCGUGCCAGCAGCCGCGGUAAUACGGAGGAUCCAAGCGUUAUCCGGAUUUAUUGGGUUUAAAGGGUGCGUAGGCGGCCUAUUAAGUCAGGGGUGAAAGACGGUGGCUCAACCAUCGCAGUGCCCUUGAUACUGAUGGGCUUGAUUACACUUGAGGUAGGCGGAAUGUGACAAGUAGCGGUGAAAUGCAUAGAUAUGUCACAGAACACCAAUUGCGAAGGCAGCUUACUAAGGUGUCAAUGACGCUGAGGCACGAAAGCGUGGGGAUCAAACAGGAUUAGAUACCCUGGUAGUCCACGCCCUAAACGAUGAAUACUCGAUGUUAGCGAUAUACAGUUAGCGUCAAAGCGAAAGCGUUAAGUAUUCCACCUGGGGGAGUACGCUCGCAAGGGUGAAACUCAAAGGAAUUGACG